GACGAACGCUGGCGGCGUGCUUAACACAUGCAAGUCGAGCGGUAAGGCCCUUUCGGGGUACGACGAGCGGCGAACGGGUAGGAGUAACAACGUGGGUGGACCUCGCCCUCCAGCUCUGGGAGUAAGACCCGGGAAACCGUAGGGUCGUAAUAACUGGAUAUGACUCCAUGACGCAUGUUGUGGGGUGGGAAAGACCUUGUUGCGGCUGGGGAGUGGGCCCGCGGCCUAUCAGCUUGUUGGUGGGGUGGAUGGCC
rnacentral:rRNA from 1 species